ACGGCAGCACAGAGAAGCUUGCUUCUUGGGUGGCGAGUGGCGAACGGGUGAGUAAUAUAUCGGAACGUACCGAGUAAUGGGGGAUAACUAAUCGAAAGAUUAGCUAAUACCGCAUAUUCUCUGAGGAGGAAAGCAGGGGACCUUCGGGCCUUGCGUUAUUCGAGCGGCCGAUAUCUGAUUAGCUAGUUGGUGGGGUAAAGGCCUACCAAGGCGACGAUCAGUAGCGGGUCUGAGAGGAUGAUCCGCCACACUGGGACUGAGACACGGCCCAGACUCCUACGGGAGGCAGCAGUGGGGAAUUUUGGACAAUGGGCGCAAGCCUGAUCCAGCCAUGCCGCGUGUCUGAAGAAGGCCUUCGGGUUGUAAAGGACUUUUGUCAGGGAAGAAAAGGCUGUUGCUAAUAUCGACAGCUGAUGACGGUACCUGAAGAAUAAGCACCGGCUAACUACGUGCCAGCAGCCGCGGUAAUACGUAGGGUGCGAGCGUUAAUCGGAAUUACUGGGCGUAAAGCGGGCGCAGACGGUUACUUAAGCAGGAUGUGAAAUCCCCGGGCUCAACCUGGGAACUGCGUUCUGAACUGGGUGACUAGAGUGUGUCAGAGGGAGGUAGAAUUCCACGUGUAGCAGUGAAAUGCGUAGAGAUGUGGAGGAAUACCGAUGGCGAAGGCAGCCUCCUGGGAUAACACUGACGUUCAUGCCCGAAAGCGUGGGUAGCAAACAGGAUUAGAUANCCUGGUAGUCCACGCCCUAAACGAUGUCAAUUAGCUGUUGGGCAACUUGAUUGCUUAGUAGCGUAGC
rnacentral:rRNA from 1 species